GAUCAUGGCUCAGAUUGAACGCUGGCGGCAGGCUUAACACAUGCAAGUCGAGCGGAGAUGAGGUGCUUGCACCUUAUCUUAGCGGCGGACGGGUGAGUAAUGCUUAGGAAUCUGCCUAUUAGUGGGGGACAACAUUCCGAAAGGAAUGCUAAUACCGCAUACGUCCUAAGGGAGAAAGCAGGGGAGUCUUCGGACCUUGCGCUAAUAGAUGAGCCUAAGUCGGAUUAGCUAGUUGGG
rnacentral:rRNA from 1 species